AGGGAAUCUUCCACAAUGGACGCAAGUCUGAUGGAGCAACGGCCGCGUGAGUGAAGAAGGUUUUCGGACCGUAAAGCUCUGUUGUUGGUGAAGAAGGAUAGAGGUAGUAACUGGCCUUUAUUUGACGGUAAUCAACCAGAAAGUCACGGCUAACUACGUGCCAGCAGCCGCGGUAAUACGUAGGUGGCAAGCGUUGUCCGGAUUUAUUGGGCGUAAAGCGAGCGCAGGCGGAAGAAUAAGUCUGAUGUGAAAGCCCUCGGCUUAACCGAGGAAUUGCAUCGGAAACUGUUUUUCUUGAGUGCAGAAGAGGAGAGUAGAACUCCAUGUGUAGCGGUGGAAUGCGUAGAUAUAUGGAAGAAUACCAGUGGCGAAGGCGGCUCUCUGGUCUGCAACUGACGCUGAGGCUCGAAAGCAUGGGUAGCGAACAGGAUUAGAUACCCUGGUAGUCCAUGCCGUAAACGAUGAGUGCUAAGUGUUGGGA
rnacentral:rRNA from 1 species